CAGUACAGUAUUCAAAAAAAUAAUGAAAGAAAACUUACACCAGGUUUCAUAAGUGGGAAAAAGAAUUUUAUUUCUUAUUCUUUUCCCCAGGGUCUCUUAAAUAUCCGCUAGUUGGAUGAAAUGGAAUAUUUUCUUUACCUAAUACAAAAACAAUAAAAUCUCUGGCUGUGAUCAAAUGAAAGAUAAUUACCAUUCAAAGAAUAGCCUCUACAAAAGAGUACCAAAAUACUUAAUUGUCAAAAAUUUAAACGCUACCCCCCCAAAAAAAAGAUAAAAAUGUAUUACAUAAAUGAUAAUCUUUUUCUUUUUUAAAUUAAAUUAGAUGACCAUAAGGGGGGUUAGGGAUAGGAUCAGUUCCCUAUGAAAAUCAGAACAAAUUAAAACAUCACAUAUUAGGAAGAGUAACAGACUAGGUACUUAUUUAUACUUUUAAUACCACAGCCAUAUACUAUAUACCUAUGACAGCAUUAAAAAAAAUAGUUGUUUAAAAGCACCUUCAUCCUGUUUCAUAAUAAGUGGUACAAACAAAAACUAAAAAAAAAUAAAAAUUCCUUGUAAACACAAAAUCAACAUAAAGGGAUAAAGGGAGGUAAUAGGCAAAAUAAUUCAAUGAAAUGAGAACAAAAUCAGAACGCACAGCCUUAAUAUUGCAAAUUAUUUAAAUAAAAUAGUAGAUAUUGUUGGGUCUAAUUGUGUAUGAUUAAGAACAAAUGUGGAGGCUUAUUUAGAGGGAUGUAUUCAAUGAUCUGACAAGCUAUACACCUUGUGCAGAGUGCUCAGGACAGACAGACACAUGAUGUCAAUUGUGAUUGCUUUAGUAUUUCCUAAAUCUAUGAAACCAUUUUGCUUUUUUUAUCCUUAAAUUGUCAGGAUAUAUAUCAUAUAUAUAUAAUCACAGCUCCUUCUCCCCCCUCACCCCCCCC